CCUACGGGCGGCAGCAGUGAGGAAUAUUGGUCAAUGGGCGCGAGCCUGAACCAGCCAAGUAGCGUGAAGGAUGACUGCCCUACGGGUUGUAAACUUCUUUUAUAAAGGAAUAAAGUGAGGCAAGUGUGCCUUUUUGUAUGUACUUUAUGAAUCAGGAUCGGCUAACUCCGUUCCAGCAGCCGCGGUAAUACGGAGGCUCCGAGCGUUAUCCGGAUUUAUUGGGUUAAGAGGGUGCGUAGGCGGAUCGUUAAGUCAGAGGUCAAAUUGAGGGGCUCAAACCCUUCCCGCCAUUGAAGCUGGCGAUCUUGAGUGGAAGAGAAGUAUGCGGAAUGCGUGGUGUAGCGGUGAAAUGCAUAGAUAUCACGCAGAACCCCGAGUGCGAAGGCAGCAUGCCGGCUUCCGACUGACGCUGAAGCACGAAAGCGUGGGGAUCGAACAGGAUUAGAUACCCUUGUAGUC
rnacentral:rRNA from 1 species